rnacentral:rRNA from 1 species
UACGAAGGGGGCUAGCGUUGCUCGGAAUCACUGGGCGUAAAGCGCACGUAGGCGGACUCUUAAGUCAGGGGUGAAAUCCUGGAGCUCAACUCCAGAACUGCCUUUGAUACUGGGAGUCUUGAGUUCGGGAGAGGUGAGUGGAACUGCGAGUGUAGAGGUGAAAUUCGUAGAUAUUCGCAAGAACACCAGUGGCGAAGGCGGCUCACUGGCCCGAUACUGACGCUGAGGUGCGAAAAGCGUGGGGAGCAAACAGGG